rnacentral:lncRNA from 1 species
CAGUGCUGAGCCCGCGCUUUCUGGGAGCCUCCAUAUAUCCUCAAAGCAUCAGGUGAGGCACAGCUUUGGCUGAAAACUUAAGCAACAGAAGCAAACCAACCCCAGUGUGGGGUCAUCACGCUUUUCAUUCAGCGUUGAAGAAUGAAAUUAUGUCAUCUGCAGGGAAACGGAUGGAACUAAAGAUCACUGUUAACAACAAGGAAAACAAGCAAGCAAACAAACAGACUUCCAAGCAGAUAUGGUUCUAGCCUGCAAUCCUA